GACAGACAAACACAAACAAACCAACGAACUACUAUGCCCAUGGCCGCCCACGCAUGCCUCGGGUAAUAAGAUACUUGACCUGUGAACAUAAUGUAACUUACUCAUCUGUGAAGAAUGCUUCAAUAAUGCGUGUUCCGAGUGGGUUAACUGCCAGCUCUGGUAUUAACAUCAUAUCUUCCCUACUGCGAGAACAAAACAUGAAACAUACAAUCACUUUGUACCCUAAACAACUAUUGUCAGAAGCACAGAUGAUAAUUAUUGCCAUUAUCGUAAGACGACCUUAGAAAAUAAUGAAAAGUCAAUAAAUUAUUAAUAGCUGCUGCAUGAAACAGUACAGCUUUGUGACUCUUUUCUCACUCUUGCAGCUAGCUACUAUAAGUACACUCUACGGACAAGUUUUUCUACGUACGUAUACACUAUUCUGAAAUAUGACACUGCAAGUAAGCAAUUAAAACUAACGUUCUGAUUAGCUAUAAGCACCACAACCUAAUUGGAAAUUGGCCUUACAAAAAUGUAGUGCCCCGCCACAUAAAGGUACCGUGAAUGCGGUCUGCACAUGUGCUGCUCUUGUUGUAUGCACGCAAACUGCUCUUAUCAUAGAUGUAGGAGAGAGGGAUUGGAAACGGAAGUAGAUUUCAAUGUACUUCACAUAUGACCUCGAUAAACAUCCGCGCCUCGCUUAAUGAGGGCUAAUGUAUUCCCCAGGAACUUCGCGGGUAACUGAGAUUAUUGCAAAUCUAGGAUUUUAUGAGUUGUCACUAGUAUUCUGUCAAGUUUUCCAGUAUCCAGUGCAACUGUGCUUUAUAUAGAUAGUGAAUAACCAUUGUUCAAGCUCUAUUUACCGUUGCAACUAUCUUCUUCAUUGAAUUUAGCAAUACCUCGCAAGCCAAAACUUACUGAGUACGCUGAAGAAAAGAAGACAGAAGAAUACCCCUCCUCUCUACACCCCUACACGUCACCGCCCUCGUAAAUGUUAUCGGCUGUUCCGGCUAUAUAUACACCCUUGUAUACCUCACCAGCUUCUCUCCAUCUAAGACUGUCUGAUUAGAGUGCUAAACUAAUCAUAAUUAUAGCUGUAUAAUAAUCAUUUUUAUCGUGUAAGUUUUUGUUAAUGUUGUUCGGUUUGAUCCCACUCGUUUUACACUUAGAAAGCAACUGGCAGUGCUGUGGAGUGUUUUUGCUGUCUCCAAGUGUAUGUAAUUAUACUUAAUGAAUUGGAAAUUGAAAUGUACGCUCACCAGCCUAGUAUAUAUAUAUAUAGUACAAUUGAUUCAUCAAAAGUGAAAACAAUAAAUUAUUAUUAAGAAAGUUACAUGGUGUAUUAUGUAUCUUGUCGUAUGAAUGAUCAUGGUUAUUGCCUCAAACUAG